GACGAACGCUGGCGGCGUGCCUAAUACAUGCAAGUAGAACGCUGAAGAGAGGAGCUUGCUCUUCUUGGAUGAGUUGCGAACGGGUGAGUAACGCGUAGGUAACCUGCCUGGUAGCGGGGGAUAACUAUUGGAAACGAUAGCUAAUACCGCAUAACAACAGUUGUUGCAUGACAGCUGUUUAAAAGAUGCAAUUGCAUCACUACCAGAUGGACCUGCGUUGUAUUAGCUAGUUGGUGAGGUAACGGCUCACCAAGGCGACGAUACAUAGCCGACCUGAGAGGGUGAUCGGCCACACUGGGACUGAGACACGGCCCAGACUCCUACGGGAGGCAGCAGUAGGGAAUCUUCGGCAAUGGGGGGAACCCUGACCGAGCAACGCCGCGUGAGUGAAGAAGGUUUUCGGAUCGUAAAGCUCUGUUGUAAGAGAAGAACGGGUGUGAGAGUGGAAAGUUCACACUGUGACGGUAUCUUACCAGAAAGGGACGGCUAACUACGUG
rnacentral:rRNA from 1 species